rnacentral:rRNA from 1 species
AUGAACGCUGGCGGCGUGCCUAAUACAUGCAAGUCGCGCGAACGGACGAGAAGCUUGCUUCUCUGAUGUUAGCGGCGGACGGGUGAGUAACACGUGGAUAACCUACCUAUAAGACUGGGAUAACUUCGGGAAACCGGAGCUAAUACCGGAUGAUAUUUUGAACCGCAUGGUUCAAAAGUGAAAGACGGUCUUGCUGUCACUUAUAGAUGGAUCCGCGCUGCAUUAGCUAGUUGGUAAGGUAACGGCUUACCAAGGCAACGAUGCAUAGCCGACCUGAGAGGGUGAUCGGCCACACUGGAACUGAGACACGGUCCAGACUCCUACGGGAGGCAGCAGUAGGGAAUCUUCCGCAAUGGGCGAAAGCCUGACGGAGCAACGCCGCGUGAGUGAUGAAGGUCUUCGGAUCGCAAAACUCUGUCAUUAGGGAAGAACAUAUGUGUAAGUAACUGUGCACAUCUUGACGGUACCUAAUCAGAAAGCCACGGCUAACUACGUG